UUCCUCCCAGCCUGCAACAUCUCUUCCUCCCCCUGGGAUGGCACGGGUUGUCUGAUGAUGGCCUGCAGUCCUCUGCCUCGCCAAGCUGCCCUUGGAACAGUCGCUUUCUUGGUUCCCCUUCCAGCUUUUCAACUCCUUCCUCUAAGUUAGAAAUCUUUUUCAGGAGAGGCUGGAGUGACUGAAUCGCAUGGUGCCCUUUUACCACCAGGAUCUCUGCUGGUUAGGCCUUCGGGCUGUGGUUCUAGUUUGGAUCUUGCCAGCUGAUCAGGUGAAUCCUUUGAUUUUACUUUGAGUUUUUCUUGAAUUUCUGAUUGUAUGUGCUGGACAAGCAAGAGUGGCAGUUUUCCCUCUGGAUGGCAUGGAUGUUCUCUGUCCUCUUCCCCAUGGGUUUGACCCAAUGUGGCUGAGUCAGACCCUGCUCCCAUGCUUGUUCUGUGGAGACAGAGUGAGCUGGUACAUCAUCUCCACAGUGGGAGAAAGAGUAUGUUGACUUCUUGCCGUGGUUUCUGCGUGUCCGAAAGUGUGAGGUCAUAGGUGUAUGAAGAUGUGCCAAGGCCAUGGGGUAUAUGUACAUGUUUGUCCACUGUGAGGUCUUCUCCUUUUCUGAAACAUUACCACCAUUUGUUUUCUGGUGACUGAAGGGCUUUAUCCUUUUCUGUGUGUAUGCUGCUGAGUUCACGUAUGCUCAUGGUGACAGCUUGGAUGAAUUCAGGCUUCUGUUCUGGAAUAAACUGGUCCAGUGUGACUUGGAGUCUGAAACUUGUUUUGUAAUUUUGUCUGAAUGCUGGAGGUGACCACUUUAGAAGCGUGUUUUACGAGUGGAAAGUAACACACACGGUGGUUUCAUGCUCAGAGGCUGUGUUCCCUCCUAUUGCUACAUCUGGAGCAGAAUGUCUGCAAGAUCACAUGUUCGUGAGUAACGUUAGGAAAAAUGCAGAGCUCAGUUGCAGCAGCGAAUGCGCAGCGUGGUUGUGCUGGGCUUCCAGAAUCGGCCAAGAGCAGAAUUUGUCUCUGAGGACUUGAAAAAUUUUGUGUUUGUGGUAUAGAGAGAGAACCUUAAUCUAUAAAAUAUCUGCUGGAGGAAAAAAAAGUUAUGCCCAUUAAAAACAGGAAGUAAUUUUAUUCAUCUGUAAAUGACUUGCUAAUGCACCAGCUACUCCACCUUACACUGAGUAGUGACAGAAUUCAUGUAUGGGAAACACUCCUUUGGAAACACUCAUUUGCACAAAAUACGCAUGCGAUUCUGCUGUGCCUAAGGAAUGUGACCAUAACGAUUACAUUCAAAAGGGGCAGUCCACUCUGUGGGAUUAAUCACUUAUUUCUAAAAAUACAUGCCGAAAUGUGUUUUGCUCCAAAGAAGGGUGAACAGUUACUAUGUAGUCUUUGUAUCAAAAAGGAUUUACUUAUUUUUACAACAAUGCGUUGUGCUGUUGCUUGGUGCUCAACCAAAGCUUUUAAUUGAGGUAAUUCUGCACAUUUGCGUAAGAAGUAUGACCUUUUUCUUUUCUGAAAUCGAUAGCUUCUGUAGAUACUAUUAUUCAGAAUACAAUACACUGCAGAGAAACUUGUUCAAACAUGUGAACUGCAGCACAAAACACUACACAAACUACAUAUAGAAUAUUAGCAGUGUGUGCAUGUAGCAUGCAUCCACGAGUACAAUAUGUUUGUACAAAGUUUUCUGUCUUUUCUGAAAAAGUAAUUUCAUAGCCCUUACCAAGUGAUUAAACUUUUGGACUUAAACAGUUUGACUACAUGUAAAAGCUCUUUAUUUUAAACAGUCUUGCCUGGUGCUUUUGGGGUGAUAAUCUGGGUAUCCUCCAGCUUUUAUGUAUUAUUUAUCUUUGAAACUUUGAAAGAACCCCCCAUUUUGUAUGGGUGAAAGACUCUUUGCAGUGAUGCCAGCUUAGUAACAACGAGCUUGGCUGUAGACACCCCCUGUCCGCUUCAGCCUGGACAAGUGAACAAUCCAACAAUACUCUGUGAUCGGUUAUAUCAUGAGUGCAGACCUGGGAGGCAGCCUUUGCUGAAAGCAGCGAUCUUGAAGCGUGGAAAUGAUCCAUGACACGCCACUGAUCCUGCUCUGUUUCUCUAGGAUGUUUCCACAACAUUGUCAGCAGUGAUUUUGGCCUAAAAUGAGUAAAAUACAUCACAGAAGCAAUCGUAUUUCCAUUAACAUAGGUACUGUUUGUGCCUUGCAUGUUCAUGGUAUUUGAUAUUCCUCCAGAUCCGCAUGUGCCUCGUUAGCAGUGUCUUCAAAUGUUUCUCCCUUGCUCCAGCCAAAAUGUCAACAAAACAUAAAACUUCUAACAGUACCACAAACCCUCUACCCUUUCAGUUUGUGUGAUAUAACUGGAAAGAAACAGCAGCCAAAUUACAGUUCUCUGCCAUCUGUUUUAGUUGAUAAAUGAAGAAACUUUGAGCUCAGUUCAGCCCUUACUUUAGGUCCUGGCAUUGUGCCCAUUUAAGCCAGAGCAGUAUCUUCACCCCAGUUCCUGUGUCAUUUUCCACUUUGAGAGAGAAGGUAUAUUUUUUGUUUGAGCAUUGGCCAUGGGAGCAAUUGCUUUUCUAUAUGCUUUCUUUGGUUUUCAUUUUAGCCUUGGUACCUAUGGAAAUGGUGGCUCACACAGUGCUGCGCUGGGUCUCGCACUCCCCUCUUAGUAAUUUCUAAACCUUUUGAUCGACUUCAGUUGUGUGUGGUGGAGAAUGCGAGAACAGAAGUCUGAGUGAGCUGAGUUUCUGUAACUUUAGUGAAAAUCCUCCAUGUGCUGUUGGGUGCCUCCUGCCCAUUGUACUGCUACUGCCUAAUGCUCCACUGUACCCAUGGAGCUCUGAGUUGCCUACACCUCAUCGUGUUGCUCUUUCAAGUCAGCAUGUCAGAAGAGACAUGGAGACAGCCAGAGUAUGGCCAUAUUGGAAGAAGACAGUAGACAUGUGGCUUCAUAGCUUCCUCAGGGAACAGCUAUGUUGUGACCACAAGAAAGGCCAGUCCUGGACUACUGUGAAUACCAGAAUAUCAAAAUCUGUUUGUUGAAUUAUUCUGCUUUCUAGCUAGUACUGAAACACACACCAUCUACUACAUACCCACAUUUCUCUUGCCUCAUGCGUUCCUUGCACAGCUUUGUCCCAAGGAAAAAAAGGCCUCCAAAGACUGUGGACUCAGCACUUAGUUUGCCAUGUUUGGGGGUAAUUAUGAAAGAGGAUGGUAAAUCGGAAGGAAUCAUGUGUGAGCAAUUAGCUGAGAAAUGAACUAUCAUACAGGAAUGAGAUUCUUGUUGGGGUUUUUUUGCGCCCCUGCCCCCCCAGCAAAGACCUACCUGGAAAACGUUCUUGCCAUUUGGAGAGUCGGCUGAAUGGUUUGUUUACUCCUUUUCAUGAAAUUUGAUACCAGAAAUUGGUAGAAAAAUGCUGUUAGUUCAGGUGUUAAUGAAAAAUAGGUGCAGGUGAUAAGCUGUGUGGUUGUGUGUGCAGGGAACAGUGGCUGCAAAACAUGGGGUGAGUGCACUCUCCUUCUCAGAAGCUUGUUCUAGUUGAAUGACAUUAUCUGAACAUCUGAAAAGCUGUUGAGGAAGAAGUCUGCCAGAAUUUUCUUGUUCCUACAGGAAAAAUAACAGUAUUACCCCCUCCUAAGACAGAGUUAAAGAAAUGCCUCAAAUGUUAGGACAGUGAAUUGGCUUACAGUGUUAACUGUGUUUCUAUUUAGAGGCAGCCCAAACUCUGACAUACAACUUAAAUAGUUAGACAGAAAAAGGUGGUUGGGUUUUUUUUCAGUACUUAAACAUAUUUCAGCUGCUGUGAGUUACUGGAAAUUACUCCGCUUUCUUAGUAGAAGAGGAAAUUGUUCUACUGUCAGCAUGGAGGGCUAAGAAGCUGUGCAAAUGAGCAUACUGGUUUCUUAACUACGUGUGUUUUCUAGUCAUACAAGAGAUGCUAAUCAUGAACUCAUGACUUCUUUUUUUCCAAAACAGGCAUAAUUAAAAGUAUAGAAUUAAAAAGAAAAAAAAAAUCAAAGCAACUUAAAAUAAAUUCUUAUGAGAUGGUAAGAGAAUUAUAUCUUUAUAUAAACAGAAAGUUUAUCAACCUCUCUUUAUCAGAUAAGCAAAAAUAUCGCUUUGGUAUAAGACUGAUUUAAUGUACUUGCUUUAAAUUUUAGUGGUUUUUUCACAGUAUCUUAUGUGCAGUUAUCUUCAAAUGAAUUGUUUUGGUUUGUCUGAAAAUGUAUCUGUUUUAAAAUGUGACAUCAGAUUUUCUUUUUUAAUUGAAGAAUGCUCACAGAACUGCUAGAUAGCUUGUGUUUGUGUGUUGUGUAAGACUUUUUUUCACAUUGGGGUCAGAAGGUAAGACACCAGGUAUUAGGUUUUUUGUUUGUUUGGGUUUUGGUUUUGGGUUUUUGGGUUUUUUUGCCCACCUCGAUUUGGUAUAUAUUCAUUUAAAGAAUGGUCUUUUCUAUUAGUAGCUAGCAGGACAAAUCAGCUAAAUUACACUCAGAGCUGACAUUAGUCCACACCCACACUGGAGAAAAAAACCAUGCAAGAUAAAGUAAAAUUCGCUAAUGGCAAUAGUUCUUAUCUGUAUGGAUAGACGAAACAGAGGAAAAUAAAAUGUACAGGUAACAGGGAGUUUGACAAGAGUGUUUGUAUAUAAAAUUUAAAAAAAUAAGAGGAACUUAGAAAUGAAGGCAAAUACAAUAUGACCCAGUCCUAUAAACUCCUCAGCAUCUUCAGCGUAACUCAUUGGGGUUUGAAGGCUUUCAGUGCUGCAGCCUUGAGCUUCACUAAAGGAUAUUUAUGCUGGAAGAAAAGAGAUCCUAAGAGCAAGAAAGACCCUACUCUCAGAUCUGUCUCCUAUAUGUAUAUAUACAUGUGCAUGUGUGUGUCUGUAUACAUAUAUAUGUAUAUUUCAAAAUACACCCAGAUGCUUUUGUGUCAUGGCUCUGAGUAUAUGUGCACCUGUGUAAAUUACAGUAAUCAAAAGACCAUAAAGCAAAAGCCUACCUACCUUGUUCCAGCAGAGUGCUUGACUGUUGCCUUUGUAGUAAGGUCUUUUGUCUUUCCCCCAGCAGUGAGAUGGAU